GACGAACGCUGGCGGCGUGCUUAACACAUGCAAGUCGAACGAAGUGGCGAACGGGUGAGUAACGCGUAAUCAACCUGCCCUUCAGAGGGGGACAACAGUUGGAAACGACUGCUAAUACCUCAUACUGAAGGAGGGGAUUGCGUCGGAUUAGCUAGUUGGAGGGGUAACGGCCCACCAAUGCGAUGAUCAGUAGCCGGUCUGCGAGGAUGAACGGCCACAUUGGGACUGAGACACGGCCCAGACUCCUACGGGAGGCAGCAGUGGGGAAUCUUCCGCAAUGUACGAAAGUCUGACGGAGCAACGCCGCGUGAGUGAUGACGGCCUUCGGGUUGUAAAGCUCUGUUAAUCGGGACGCGGUACCGGAAUAGAAAGCCACGGCUAACUACGUGCCAGCAGCCGCGGUAAUAC
rnacentral:rRNA from 1 species